rnacentral:rRNA from 1 species
AUGGAGAUGGCCAAGCCGCCUCGCCCGCGCGGCUUCAAGGUCGGCCGCCGGCCGACGGCCGCCUCCCGGAAGGACCACGGCGGCGGGGGCGUUCGCCAGCCGCCGCGUGGCCCUGCGCGCGCGCACCUACCGCCGGCCUCGCCAUCCUCGGCCGCGGUCCCUGCGGCUGGCCUCCUGCCGCGUGCCUCGGUGCCCUCGCACACGGCCCCUGAGCCAAGCCUCCUCCCGCCGGCCCCGGCCCCCUCGCGCACCGCGCCUGCGCCCGGCGUCCCCCCGCCGGAAUGGGUGCCUUGGUACAUGGCCCCCGCGUCCUGGGACAUGACCCAUCCGCCCCGCCUCCCCUCGCAGGCCACUCCCCCUGCCCCCGACCUCCUCCCGCUGGCCUCGGCGCCCUCCCACACCACCCCUGCGCUCGGCCUCCUCCUGCCCUCUACCGCGCCCCCUGAGCCCUGCAAAUACUACACCGGCAUGCUCUUAGGUCCGCGUGUCUAUGCUCGUGAUCUCUCUCCGCCCGCAGCACCCGCCACGAGCGUCGCUACAGCAGCCUUCUUACCGCCGCCGCCGACAGCUAACCCCCUACUUGUAUGCAAGGAGUCCAUGGAAGGUUGCAAAUAUGUGAAUAUGGAGAUGAGCGAUGAAGAAACGGAAGAGGAGUAUGAAUCACGCAAGAAGGCGGAGUGGUGCUGUGGAGCCUGA